GACGUAGGGCGCGAGCGUUGUCCGGAUUUAUUGGGCGUAAAGAGCUCGUAGGCGGCUUGUCGCGUCGACUGUGAAAACCCGCGGCUCAACUGCGGGCCUGCAGCCGAUACGGGCAGGCUAGAGUUCGGUAGGGGAGACUGGAAUUCCCGGUGUAGCGGUGAAAUGCGCAGAUAUCAGGAGGAACACCGGUGGCGAAGGCGGGUCUCUGGGCAGUAACUGACGCUGAGGGACGAAAGCUAGGGGAGCGAAUGGG
rnacentral:rRNA from 1 species